UACGUAGGGUGCGAGCGUUGUCCGGAAUUAUUGGGCGUAAAGAGCUCGUAGGCGGUUUGUCGCGUCUGCCGUGAAAGUCCGGGGCUCAACUCCGGAUCUGCGGUGGGUACGGGCAGACUAGAGUGAUGUAGGGGAGACUGGAAUUCCUGGUGUAGCGGUGAAAUGCGCAGAUAUCAGGAGGAACACCGAUGGCGAAGGCAGGUCUCUGGGCAAUUAACUGACGCUGAGGAGCGAAAGCAUGGGGAGCGAACAGGA
rnacentral:rRNA from 1 species